rnacentral:rRNA from 1 species
AGUGAACGCUGGCGGUAGGCCUAACACAUGCAAGUCGAACGGCGGCACAGUAAGAGCUUGCUCUUACGGGUGGCGAGUGGCGGACGGGUGAGGAAUACAUCGGAAUCUACUUUUUCGUGGGGGAUAACGUAGGGAAACUUACGCCAAUACCGCAUACGACCUACGGGUGAAAGCAGGGGAUCUUCGGACCUUGCGCGAUUGAAUGAGCCGAUGUCGGAUUAGCUAGUUGGCGGGGUAAAGGCCCACCAAGGCGACGAUCCGUAGCUGGUCUGAGAGGAUGAUCAGCCACACUGGAACUGAGACACGGUCCAGACUCCUACGGGAGGCAGCAGUGGGGAAUAUUGGACAAUGGGCGCAAGCCUGAUCCAGCCAUACCGCGUGGGUGAAGAAGGCCUUCGGGUUGUAAAGCCCUUUUGUUGGGAAAGAAAAGCAGCAGGUUAAUACCCCGCUGUUCUGACGGUACCCAAAGAAUAAGCACCGGCUAACUUCGUG